GAUAUGUAGGUUAUCUGCCUCCCAACGCGCGGCGGAUAUUGAGGUUAUCCUAGCGGUGGAUAUUGAGGUUUUCCCGGCGGUUGCAGCGACUGCUGAUGAAAAGGCGGACGUCGACACUCAGAACUAAGCAAGGCAGCCUUAUAAUUAAGCCUAAGAUGUAAUGAAUAAAAUGCAUGCUCGUGGUGUGCCGGUUUUACUUGUUAUAUAUAUUAUGAUGAUGUAACCGUCUGAUUUAUGUAAUUUUGCUUUCGCUAAUACACCAACUUUUAAGUAUUUUUAGUUUGGGGGACACUUGUGUGCGCGCAAGUUUAAAACUGCGCGCAUGGUGAGCGCUAUAUUAAAAGAAAAAAUAAAAAAAUACAACGGUUUACUAGUAUUAGGCUUUUGCAUAUUUUUUUUUCCUUUUUUUUGUUUUUUUUUNUCAUUUGCGUUUUUUAUGUUUUUUUUUCCAAGGCACUUCUAUACCACAUCGAAAAGUAUAAUUUCAUAUAUUAAAGGUGUCAUUUAUUAAAAAAAAUAGUGUCAUUUAAAUAUAUUAAAAAUAUUAUUUAAAUAUAAAUAUAAUACUCCCUCCGUCCCAAACGAAAAGUCCUAUUCUUUUCGGCACGGAGAUUAAGAAAUGUGUAUAAAGUAGAUAAAGUGGGUUGGUGGAAAUUAUUUAAAUAUAAGUAUAGAGAGAGAAUGUAUUGCCAAAAAAGGAAACAUGACAUUUCGUUUGGGACAGCCCAAAAAGAAAAACAUGACAUUUCAUUUGGGACGGAGGGAGUAUUAUUUAUUAAUGCAUAUUUACAUAUAUUAAAGUGUCAUUUAAAUAUAAAAUAAUUAUUAAUGCAGAUGGUGUUAUUUAAUAAAAUAGUGUCAUUUAAAUAUUUUUAAAGUGUUUUUUACUAACAAAAAUAAUAUCAAUGUUAUAGUGUCAUUUUUUUUAUCCGAUAAACAAAUGACACUACAAUAUUUCAAAAGACACUACUCCGACAAACAAAUGAUACUAUAAGAUUUCAAAUGACACUAUAACAUUUCAAAUGACACUACUCUGACAAACAAAUAACACUAUAUGAUUUCAAAUGACACAAUAUGAUUUCAAAAAACACUAUAAUAUUUGAAAUUACACUACUUGGACAUACAAAUGAUACUAUAACACUUGAAUAUUUCAAAUGACACCACAAAAUUUCGAAUGUCACAUUAACAUUUCAAAUUACACUACUUCGACAUACAAAUGACACCAUAAGAUUUCAAAUGUCACUAUAACAUUUCGAAUGACACUUUGACAUUUCAAAUAACACUACUCUGACAAACAAAUGACACUGCAAGAUUUCAAAUGACGCUAUAAGAUUUCAAAUGACACUUUGACAUUUCGAAUAAUACUAUGUCAUUCAAAUGCCACUAUAAGAUUUCAAAUGACACUAUAAGUUUUGAAAUGACAGUAUUCCAACAUAAAAUAAUAUUAUAACAUUUCAACAUUUGAAAUGACACUUUAACAUUUCAAAUGACACUUUAACAUUUCAAAUGAAACUAGAAGAUUUCCAGUAAAUAGGGAUUUUGUAUAUUUAGUUUAAUAUUAAAAAUAAUCGAAAUAACUUGAUUAGAUAUUUAUACAAUGUUCUUGUUUCAUGAUCCUCGUACUUUUUACAAUUUUUUUAUUUGAUUCUUAUUUGAAAUAUUUAGUAAAUUGAUUAUCUUCCGCAUCACAACACUUCAUGUGGUUGAUACAACAUGUGGAGCUUGAGCCAUCUAAGUGGCCCUCUAACUGUUCGACGAAAUGACUAAAAGAAUCUGGUAUGAUGAGAAGUGCUCCAAGCCUCCAACUGUUCAUUUUUUAUUAUCGCAUUGCAAUUCGAGUUUAGUUGUUUGUGAUUCAUCUCGAUCAAAACAGACAGAACAUUCCCGCUAACGCGCAAAUAUAUAAUUUGUACUUAUAUUUUUUCUCAGAUAAAUGGUAAUCUAUAUCUAUUAUAUCGAAUGAACAAACUCAUGGUUGGUAAUUUAUAUCUAUACCUAUUAUAAAAGAGCUUUAUUUUACAAAAUUUAAUUUACCUUUUAUAUCCCUCAUAUAUACUUAAUAAGGUCAAUUAUGUAAUUUAAUACUCCAUUCGUCCCAACUUUUAGUAUUCAUCUUUUAUUUUUUAGUCAUCUCACAUUUUGUCAUCCAUUUCUAUUUUUAGUAAAAGUAGGUGAGACUCUUACUCCACUUUCAAUUAUUUUAACACUCACAUAAAAGAUGAAAUCUUUAUUCCAUUCACAAUACACUCAAUCACUUUAUUAAAACCCGUGCCAAUCUCAAAUGAAUACUAAAAGUUGAGACGAAGGGAGUAUAUUAUACAUUAAAUAAAUCUAAAAUAUAUUAUGGUUUAUGUUUUAUAUUUUAAUAAUUAUUUAAGUAGUAGUAUCCAUUAGAAUCUUCAUCGACAUAAAUUACUAUUUUUUACUAUGUAAAUUUAAUAAUUUAAAAUUACAAUCGAAAGGAUUUAUUGUUUUAUUAGAAGUUUAAUUUUGCUAGAAUCCUUGGAAUUAAAAUUAAUUUUGUAAAGAUGAAACCUAAAAAUAAAUAUGAAUUUCAUAUCAAUUUUCUUUUCUUUUUGGUUGUUUUUUUUUAAGUAUGAUAAAAUUAGGCGGUGCUUAACUAAUUAAAAUUAAAUUUGAAUAUUAAAUUUAGAUUAUUUUUAUUUUAUUUUUAUGAGUUUUAAAAUAUUAUAAUCGUCAAAUAUUAUCAAAUAAUGCUUCAAAAAAUAUAUUAAAAUGAUAAUUGUUACUAUAACUUUCACCUUUUGUUUUCAUAGCCUUUUUAAUUUCGUUUGUAAACUUUACGUUGGUGUAUAUAUAUUUCUUCUAGAAUGGAUGUUUUUGUUUUUGUAUACAACUCAAACACUUCAAAAUAAGCUCGAUUUUAAAAGUAUUGAUGGGUGUUUGUGUUUUGUAUUCAAGGCAAACGACGUAGUUUUGUUUCUGAAAAUAUUAGGAAUGUUGUAUCAUUCUAAAAGAUUUAAAAGUGGUGUUAUGACUGGAUCAAUAAUAGUCAUUUCAUUAUUCAGUGAUUAUGUUUUAUUGUAGAAUGUCACUUUCCAAUUUUGACUUUUUUUCUUUAAAUUGGGAGACAAUUCCAACAUCAAAUUAAAUUAUCAUGAGCUAUAUGUCUGGAUUUAUAUUGAUAUUAAUUAACCACAGCACACUUCAUCUGACUUUUCUCCUUGACUUGCAAGUCGUCAUUUUUAGGAAUUGUUAUAAUCAUGUAUUAACUUUCAAUUUUUGUAUCUAGAUUUUAGUUAAGAGGAUGAAUCAUUUUUCUUGCCCCUCUUUCACGUCGGUUUAUUCAAGGAGGUAAAUAGUAACUCUUUCAACAAGUGAACUAGAAUAGAAACAAGUAAUACACAGAAAUAAAAUAAAUAAGUUAAAAGACUAAGCCAUUUCCACGUUAACGUAUCAUGAAUUAUCUUCAAAUAAUUUCAACUCCAUCCGUCCCACGAAUCUUACGAAUCUUGAGUCACUUCUUUUCGUCUUAAACACGCAUCACUCCAUCUUCCUCGAUGGAGUCCGUUGUGCGCGCCUACGUUUCUAAGGCUCUCUCUGUCUCUCUCAAAUCGACGAAAAAUUCUUCGUCUCCCUUUCUUCUUGAAUCUGACACGAUGGUGGAAGAAACUCCGUUCUCGGAGAUGGAUGUAUGUGAAUCGGACACUGUCGUGCCGGAAACCGAAGUGGCGCCGUGGUUGCUGCCGAAACCGACGCGGCGCGCCUCCCUCUCUCUGAAUAGGAGUCGAUUCUACCGGAAUCCGGAGCGGCGACUUUCGAUCUCUGUGAAUCGCCGGAAUACAAUUCUGAUGGCUUCCAUCUCUCUGAACACAUCAGACGAGAGAGGGAAAAGGCCAAGCUUUCUUAGUCUCCGUGCCCACACCCAAAUAGGGCAUUAAAUCAUGGACGGAGGGAGUAAUUAAUAUUGAGAGUUGUGAAAAAGUGAAAGUAAGAGUAAUUAUAAGUGGUGGGGUAUAGUCAAAAAAUAGAUAAUAAGAGUAUAAUUUUAUACACAGUUUGAAAGUGACAUUUGCAAUAUGUGAGGAAACAGAUAUGUUUUGGCCUAUUUAUUACAUUUACUGCUCACGAUUUGUCUAUAAAUAUAGGAUCUAUCCCAGCAACAUUUCUCAUCCUAAACAAAAACACAACUAUUUCACAACUCGAAGAAAAAUGAGUUCCAAACUGAUUGUUCUUCUCGGCCUUUUAGCUCUUCUACUUUCUUCAGAAGUAGCUUCAGCCAGCAGAGAACUUGCUAAGACAACUAAUGCUGUCGAUCCAUGUAAGCAAAUUCUUCAAUAAUAUAUAUAUAUAUAUAUAUAUAUAUAUAUAUAUAUAUAUAUGUGUGUGUGUGUGUGUGUGUGUUUUUUGAUACAAAUUAAGUGCUCGUUUGGUUCAAGUAGAGGAAUGGAAAGGGAAUGGAAUCAAAUAAAGGAGUGGAAUGGUAACAAUAACCAUUACUUUUAUUGAGUGUUUGGUUUAACAAUGGAAAUGCAUCAUUAGUAAGGGAAUCUCUUUCUUUUGUUUCCCCUCUAUUUUGAGGGGUAACAAAUUGGGUGAUUGGGUUACCCUUAAGUAAGGGUAAUGAUUAUCUCAUUACCCAAACCAAACAACAAGUAAUGGAUUCAAUUACUUGAUUCCAUAUACAACCUCUAAAAUCACCCAAACAAAGUUAAAACUAAUUAAAUAGAGCACAAGUUUCCGCAAUUUGGUAUCAUCCAUUUUUUUUUAUAUAUAGAUUAACAAGAAAAUAAAAAAAUUAAAAGAUAGCGAUGCGGUGAACUUGAACCUAGAACCUCUGGUCUUGGCAUUAACCCCAUUGCACACUAGCGUUAGGCGAACACACAUGUGCGCACUUUUUUUCUAAAAAGUACACGCAAUGUAUGUUUAUAUUGUUCUGAAAAUGUCAAAAUUAUAAAUUUAUUGAUUACUUUAAUGCCUAAGGCCAAAGGUCUUGAGUUCGAGUUCUCUGUGGCGCGACCUUUUAAUUUCUUUAUUUAAUAUUGUAAAUUUAUCAAAAUAUAUAUAUAUAUAUAUAUAUUGAUUACUUGAACAUGCAUGUAGUGGAGAAAGGGUCCCCACCAUUUUUUGAAAUGAGUGGUUGAGAUUGAAUUUAAGAUGGAUUUUUGGUAAAUAAAGAGUAUUUGUAAGGAUAAAAGAUAAGAAAAAAAGAUGUCAGCCAUGUUCUAAAAAGGAAAGUGCAUACUUUUGGUGGACACAGAAAAUGAAUUCAAUAGGUCAUGUUUCCUUAUUUCAAUAGACUAUUUCCUAAAAUGGAAAGUCAAUACAUAACAAAUAUCCUCGUAUAAGGUCCUCCUAAUUUGGGAAACGGUCAUGGAGGUUAUCCGCCUGACCAAGGCCGCGGAUAUGGAUCACGUUGUGGCAUUCGAUUUGGAGAUGGUUAUCAGCCGCCUCCCGGCGGCUGAUCUAGUAGGUUAUCUACCUCCCAACGGCGGAUAUUGAGGUUAUCCUAGCGGUGGAUAUUGAGGUUUUCCCGGCGGUUGCAGCGACUGCUGAUGAAAAGGCGGACGUCGACACUCAGAGCUAAGCAAGGCAGCCUCAUAAUUAAGCCUAAUUAAGAUGUAAUGAAUAAAAUGCAUACAUACUUGUUAUAUAUAUUAUGAUAUUAUGAUGAUGUAACCGUCUGAUUUAUGUAAUUUUGCUUUCGCUAAUACACCAAGUUUCAAGUAUUUUUAGUUUGGGGGACACUUGUGUUCGCGCAAGUUUAAAACUGCGCGCAUGGUGAGCGCUAUAUUA
rnacentral:lncRNA from 1 species